rnacentral:tRNA from 1 species
GAUUCUGUAGCUCAAGGGUAGAGCAGUGAGCUGUUAACUCAAAGGCUGUAAGUUCGAAUCUUACCAGAAUCG